GGUCUUGUGGUCUAGUGGUAUGAUUCUCGCUUAGGGUAUACCCUGAGUCAAUUGAUUGCGAGAGGCCCCGCGUUCGAGUCGCGGCAAGACCC